rnacentral:rRNA from 1 species
UACGAAGGGUGCAAGCGUUAAUCGGAAUUACUGGGCGUAAAGCGCGCGUAGGUGGUUCGUUAAGUUGGAUGUGAAAGCCCCGGGCUCAACCUGGGAACUGCAUCCAAACUGGCGAGCUAGAGUACGGUAGAGGGUGGUGGAAUUUCCUGUGUAGCGGGUGAAAUGCGUAGAUAUAGGAAGGAACACCAGUGGCGAAGGCGACCGACCUGGACUGAUACUGACACUGAGGUGCGAAAGCGUGGGAGCAACAGG